UCGACUGUCUUGGCACAUUAGGGCUGCUUUCAGAGCGGUGCCAACGCUCCACUAGACCAUUGCUCUGUGGACGGUAAGGAGUUGAUCGUUGUCUCUCAAUAGUGCUUGGAACAGCUCUCCUUCAAAUUGGCUUCCUUGAUCAGAUGUGAUAACUCGAGGGGCGCCAUAACGAAUGAUCCGUGUGUUGUAGAACGUUGUGGUUAUCGUGUCGGCUAUAAUGUCGGACAUUGGGGCUGCUUCUGGCCAUCUAGAAAAUCGAUCAAUCAUAGUGAGCAAAUUCAUUUGCCCCUGACUGGAUGGUAAUGGUCCGACGAUGUCCAGAUGAAUAUGCUCGAACCGUGCAUUGGUGGUUGGAAAAGUCCCAAAAGCGUUCUUGUUGUGGCUUUUGACUUUGGCUUUUUGGCAUGCUAGACAAGUCCGAGACCACUCGGCAAUGUCACGGUUCAUAUUUGGCCAGACGAAUUUUUGUCGGCUGGUGGCACGACCACUCGGAUGGGCGAGGCCAUGGACUGUGAAAAUUUUCUUUCGAAGGCUCUUCGGUAUGAUUUCUGCGCUAGAUGUGUCACAAUAGAUACCCUGUGAAUCACUCAUUGUGAAUUUGCGAAGAACUAGUGACGUUGUGGAGGUAAGCAAAUGUUGUAGCUCGGAAUCAAUUUCUUGUUCCUGAGCUAAUUCGGACGUUGUUACAAUAACAAGUGUCGUAAUAGCAUCCAAUCGUGAUAGCGCGUCUGCUAACACAUUUUUAGUUCCUGCAAUGUGUACGAUGUUAGUGCUAAACUGGGAAAUAAAGUCGAUAUGACGAAACUGUCGUGGUGAUGCCUUGUCUGCUCGUUGAUGAAAGACAUACAUUAAACGUUUGUGAUCUGUCUUAAUGAUGAAUUGUCGUCCUUCAACAAAAUGUCGAGAAUAUUUAACGCUACGGUAAAUCGCUAACAGUUCCCUGUCAUAUGUGCUGUAUUUGCGUUCAGUUGAUAAAAGUUUUUUUGCCAUUGAUUGUCGAUCCGUUGCUCGAGGGUAGCACCUAUGGCGCUGCCAGACGCAUCUAUAGUAAUGGCAAGCUUUGUUCCCUCCUUAGGGUGGGCUAACAACGCUGCGUUUGCGGGGUCGUUUUUGACGAGGUAAAAAGCUCUGUUGGCUGUAUCUGUCCACCCAAUUCGUCGCUUGUCGUUGCGUUUGCUGUCCUUUAGAUAAACGUUUAAAACGCUCUGGUGUUCAGCUGCGUUUCGGACAAAUCUCCGAUAAAAAUUUACAACUCCGAGAAAUCUGCGUAACUCGACAAUCGUUGCAAGCUUCGAAUUAUUUCUAAUGGCACUGACCUUUUCGGGCAAGGGCUUAGUACCAGAGCAACUUAUUCGAUAGCUUAAAUAAUUAACAAAUUCUUGACCAAAAACACACUUCGAUGGGUUGAGUUUCAGGCCGAAUUGGCGAAGGCGCUCGAAAAUCCGUUGAAGAUGGUGUAAAUGUUCUUCGUUAUCGUGGGAAGCUAUUAAUAUGUCGUCUAUGUAACAAUAAACGAAAUCUAAACCGCGCAGUACAUGAUCCAUAAACCGUUAAAAACUCUGUGCGGCAUUGCACAAUCGGAAAGUCAUUCGCGUGAAUUCACAGAGUCCAAAAGGCGUGAUCACUGCAGUUUUUGGAAUGUCUGCUUCCGCAACUGAUGACCGAAUUUGAUGGUAGGCGCGCGUUAAAUCUAAUGUGGAAAACACAUUUUUACCGAACAAAUUUGCUGCAAAGUCUUCGAUAUGCUCGAUCGGGUAUCGAUCUGCGAUAGUGACGGAGUUUAGCUUGCGGUAAUCUCCACAUGGUCUCCAUUCUCCAGCCUUUUUCGGAACAAGGUGAAGCGGACCGGCCCAAGGGCUCUGGCAUGGACGGCAUAUACCCAUUUCAACCAUAUAUUGAAGUUCUGAUUUUGCAAAUUUCAGUUUAUCAGAUGGCAAACUUCUGACGGGUUUCACAACGGGCGGUCCACUUGUGAUGAUAUGAUGUUCGACAUUGUGUUUGGGCACAGCAGUUUUGACCAAAGGGUUAGUGAUGUCGAUGUAACUUUUGAGGAGCUCGGCGAUUUUCGGUUGGAUCACAUCAGGAAUGGCUGUAAUAACGGCAGCGGGUUGAGGGCCGAUUUCACCUAUAACUGAAAUUUGAGUGUUAUUGUCGAUAAGUCUUUGGUUACGCAAAUCAACCAUCACCAACAAACACCAAAAACUUUAAACCAGUCUCUCGGUCGACCACAAAUAAACGGCAUUUGGUAAAACCGUCGGCACUGGCCGCGACAGGCAGACGGCUGUCUAGUUUCCCGAAUUUAUCGAAAAAUUGCAAGGUUUGAGAACUUUUUAGCUUUUUUCCGAAUUCGGCGUGGAACCAACAAAGACCUAUAUGACUUUCAGUCGGUUCGUUGGUUCUGUUACGCGAAUGCACGCUUCCUCUCGAAAGGGUGCCGCCACGACUUUGCUGUCGGAAAUGUUGACGACUGUUCAUUUUGAGACUUGCUAUCUCAACAGAAAGUGCUUCGAUCUUACUUGUUAGGGCUUGCAACUCGUUGGAACUGUUCGCUGGCGGGGUAGAUACUGCGUUGACUCCAUGUAGAUCCAAAACUUCGUGAAGUUUGUCCGCUGUUGUCACCAGACUCUGUAGACCUCCAGUAUUAGAAGAAAAGAUAGCCUGAGUCUGGCUGGGUAGUCGCUGUAGCCAUAAGCUUGUUAAGAAUUCUUCGCUGACUCUAUUUCCGGCUAAGCUCGUUAUGUGCACCAGGAUCUGCGAUGGGCCUUGAUCUCCGAAAUCCGUGUCCGAAAGAAGCUUUUUUAGUCGUUGCGUCUCGAAAUCGGCAAAACAAGCGAUUAAUCGUUCGCUUCAAUGUCGAUCGCUUCAAUGUGGUAUACUUAUUCUGCGUAGGUGGGUUUAGGAUGAGGUCACUAACCUGGAUCAAUAUUUCCCACUGGAUGUUACGGUCAUGUGAAACUUGGUGGUGUCGGAAGUGAUUGAGUUCGUGUGGAACUGCGACUCUAUUUGAGCAAACCAUAACACAGGGUUUUUGUUUCCCAAAAGGCGUUUGUAAAGCCACAUGGCUGACUGCUGCAGAAUCGUUGUUCUGAACUGGCGCUGAGACAUUAGAUGCAACAGGUUGAGUUUGACCAGUGGGAGAACUCAUGUUGGCGUGCACUUAGGCCCGGUUCUACCAAGAGUGAUUACAUUCUUGGUUAAUUAAUCACAACCAUUUUUUAAUCAUCAAUUUAAUCAUGAUUAAAAUGUCAUGCGUUCCACAACAAACAUUUUAACUCCGGUUCGAUAAUCAUCAGUCUCCUCGGGUAAGAUCGUAUUUCCUUUGAAUCAACGGUUCCGAUUGGUUCAAACAACUGACUGAUCAACUGGAAUCAUUUUCUCUCAAAAUAGUUGGGUUGUGUUCGUUAUUUAGUCUAUCCAUUUGCAGUGUCCACGUGUGGUACCAGUAAAUAGUGUUUUUUUAAUACACAUUGCAUUUUAAAUAAAAAUAGAAGAACAAGAUGGGAGAUGAAUCACGAGUGACAUUAUUAGAGGUACGUACAGUCUGUAAAAAAAUCUCCAUAUACCAGUCAUUUUUAAGUAUUCUUUCUUUUUUAUUCACUCUCUCUGAGCAACACUCAUUUGUGAAGUGCUUUUAGUUUGCUAAUUUAUUUAAAUUUAAAUAGAAAAAUAUCGUCACUUUGCUUACAAGUAAUAAAAUUGAUAAAAUAAAGGUAAAGUCAAUUGAAACACUCUAUCUGAACAAUAAAAAAUAAAAAAAAUUUAGGUUCGAGAAAUUAAUUUUAAAAAAUUAAUAAAAAAAUUAUAUAAAAAAGUCUCCCUACACUUUACAUAGACACAAAAGGCUAUUCAGCAUCAUUUCCUGAUCACAUUUUUUGACACAAAUAAAAUUUGGUUGUUUUAGCACAAGAAAAAGAAAAGAUGCCGAAAACUUUAUAAGCAGUGAAAAAUCUGCUCUAAUAGGGAUAAUUGACGAACAUAAAAACAUUAUAGAAUGUAAGAAAACUGAUAGUGUUCAUUGAUGUGCAUCAAAACAAAGAAUGAAACAUCGCUCAAAAUUUGCACUAAAUUCAACGCACAAGGCAUAUUCCCAGAGUAUCGUUCUGCUGAAAAAUUAAAAUUGUUGUGGGACAAUUUAAAGCGAAACACCAGAAAAAAUAUGAGCUAUUUACAGAAAGAAAUGUUCCAAACUGGUAAGAUAAUUCACUCAGUUGAAAUCAAAGAAAGUUUUAUUUAUUUAUUGUCACAUUUUUAAUAAGUGGCAGAACUUCGUUAACAAUAGAAGAUCCUUUGAGCCUACAAGUGAAAAAUUUGAUUGGGAAACUAAUUGAGCCUAUGACCAAUGAUUAUGACGAUGAUGCUCUGGAAGAUAUAACUAUACAAGAUACAGAGGUGGAGUUUGCAAGGAGCAUGGAUGGUGACAACGAAAUCACCACCAACACAACGCCAGAUCCAGAUAUUUCUGUAGCUCAAUACCAAGAAAUAUUGGAAGAAACUGAGGUUUGUUUUCGGUCACUCUCGUGUGUCCGCUCUUCUGGAGUUGGUUGUUCAGGCUAUGCUUAUCUUGUAACUAAUCACUUUACCAACGCUUUUUUGAAUUACAUUUAGCAGGCAAUAAGUGAUGAUGAUGAUGAUCAUCAUGAUUGGGCCAGUUGGAACCCAGUGGGUCUCAAAAGUAAAAAGAAUCCUCUCUUAAAAAUACCAUCAAAGAUUUUUGUGAGCACUCCUUCCACAUCACAGGCGAGUGCAAAAGAUGGAUUAGAACAUAUGGAACGACGGCUGACAGGAAAGAACAAAAAAAGCACGCAUUGGAAAAUAGGAGUGUAUUGGUUGAACUGUAAAUGCAAAAAAGUACCGCCAAUUGUUACCAAGAAGUCUAAUUCGAAUUAUGGAACAAUAUCUUGGAAUGAAGAAUUGCAUAUUUUAACUGGACGGUGCGCUUUUCACGCAGCUAAAACGAUCAAAAAGUGGUUUGAAGAUCAUAAAUUCAAAGUUUUAUCGUGGCUCUCAAGCAGUCCGGACUUGAAUGUUAUAGACACUUUGUCAUCAAAUGAAGAAAUCAUUACCAGAAUUUCGUCAGACUCACUCAGUUCACUGGGACUCAAAGGCAAAACGUAUAAAAGCCGGUCAAAGCCGAAAGGUUAUGUUGCUUCUUAUUAAACUUCGCAUUAAUAUAGUUGUAUUAAAGUAAAAAUAAUCGAUUUUUUCCAAAACCGCGCCUAAAUGCUACUGCAUUUAAUAAUAGAUAUGCUUCUAUUGCUACAGGUAUGGUUUAAAAACCGGCGAGCGAAAGCGAAAUCGAUGCUGCAGACGGAAUCCAACGAUGGCAAGGUCUGGACAUGUACCGUCAUACAAAUCCUGAUAACGCUUAUGGAUUUGAAGGCCAGAGUCGAGAUCAAUACAACAUGGGGCGAUAGUCAGCUGUUCUGCUUUAGCAUGGUUAGAUUAGUAAUAGUAUUGAAGUAAAAUGGAUAGAUCAAUCUGUGAUAUAUUUUUAUUGAAGGAACUACUGAAUUGUCAGUGGCAUUAUCUGUGAUUCAUGAUAUUAUAUUUCACUCUGCUGUA